UACAUGAAGGAAUAGGCAGAUAAAGAA
rnacentral:piRNA from 1 species